rnacentral:rRNA from 1 species
GAAAUAUAAGUAAAAUUUAAUUGAUUUAUCGAAUAAAAUUUUAAAUACAUUGAUAUAAUGACGAUAUGUAUAUUACGGUCUUGACAAAAUACGUGCCAGCAGUCGCGGUAAUACGUAUGAGACUUGCGUUAUUCAUCUUAAAUAGGUUUAAAGGGUACUCAAACGGUCAAAUUAUCCUUUAAUAGGUAAUAUUUGUCUAGAGUUUUAUGUAAGAAGACAGUACUUAGAGUGGAGAGAUUAAAUUCUGUGAUACCUAAGGGACUGGCUUCGGCGUAGGCAGUGUUUUAUGUAAAAACUGACGUUGAAGGACGAAGGCAUAGAUCGCAAACAGGAUUUGACACCCCAGUAGUCUUUGCAGACAAUGAUGAAUGCCGUAGAUUAGUUGAGAAUUUAGUCUAUAAUGAAAAUAAAAGCAUUUCACCUCAAGAGUAAUGUGGCAACGCAGGAACUGAAAUCAC